AAGAAAAGCUUUCUCCUCCUCCUCCUUUGGUCCUUCCUCCGUCUCGACAAUAUGGGGAAGCAAUAGCAUCCUUGCAGAAAUUCACAAAAUCAAAAACUUUGAACAAUAAUUUUCAUAAUCCAGAAGCAUAAUCUGCACAAAUUAACCAUUUAAAACACGAAAUUGAACCAUCAAUUUACGGGAAAAUGCUGGGAUUGUCUUAUGCAGAAAUUUUCGUUCUUCUUGGAGCAACUGCUGCUUUCAUCGGGCCUAAGGACCUUCCAAUCAUUUCACGAACUGCUGGUCGAUUAGCUGGGCGAGCAAUUGGUUAUGUUCAAUUGGCUCGUGGUCAAUUCGAUAAUGUCAUGCAACAAACUCAAUUUCGUCAGGUAAAUAAAGAAUUGCAAGAUACAAUGGCUCAGCUAGAAGCAAUUCGCUAUGAAAUUCGCAGCAUAUCCAUCAUGAACCCUGGUCCAUUGACGCAGAGGCUGAUGGAUAAUCCUGAACAAGAUAAUACUGACACAGGGGCUACUGCCAAUACUGGGCCUGUAAAUAUCAGUGAAGAGAGCACUGCAGCUAGGGUACAUCAUGUUCAACAUCAACAAAGCCAACAACAGCUGCACGGCUUUAAGACGGAGACUAGCGUGUUCAAGGAGCACGGCUCAGUAGCUUCUGGAACAUCCAACUUGUAUAGCCGAGCAACUGCGUACGCUAAGUUGGCAGAAUCCCCUGCUCUAAAAUCCGGGACAGUGGAAGGUAGUGUUAGCGUGGACACAGUUGAUGAGAGACCUGGCCUUCUGUCAGUCCUUCCUGUAUCUGCUGAGAGUGCAGGUUUACUGCCAAAACGUCAAGGUGAAGUAACAGGUUCUGACAUUGUUCUUGAAGCAGUAUUAGAGGCAGAAGUUGCACGCAAUGCCAAAGAAUUUUUCUCCCAGCCACAAAAUGAGAUCAAAUUUGAAUGAUUUGCAAAAUUCGGCUUAGAAAAGUUGAUCAAGAAUAUCCAUUACUACAUGAUCCGUUGAUGUUAAACUGUUUUCUAGCAGUUAUGCCCCCAAAUCUUGAUAAUUUUUUUGCUUUGAGCCGAAGUUUGGAAGUCUAGCUCAUGCAGGACAACCUUGAUGGGCCGUUUGGUAGCCGGUAAUAAAGGGUGGGAAUGAAAAUAAUUUUAAGUGUUAUUUGGUAAAAAAAAUAACAUCAUAAUGUGCAUGGUAAUGAAAUUUUGUCUCAAACUUGGUGUUUUUCUUCAUAAAUUUGCAUUCCCACCUAAUACCACUCUCCAAAUGGUAAUGGAUGGUAUUGGAAAUUUAUAAAGUAAAAUAGAUAAUUUCGAGUAAACUAACAUUAUCAUGGGAAUGAAUAUUGAUCUUCCUUACAAAUUUACAUACAAAUUCAUUCCAAUUGACACCAUUUAUGGUCGGCUACCAAACGGGUCGUGAUUCUUUUCCUCAUGGGACUUCCUACGACCUACAAGCAGUUGGAAUCUUUGGCUUAACGGCAACGUGGAACGACUCUUGAGUGUUGACUUGGGUGAGAUAUAUGAUGCAUACAUCUUAUUUUAUGAAACGGUCUCAUGAUACCUUACUGCAAGCUCAAGGUAAUUUAUUUUCCGACUUGUUUGGGGAUGGAGGUUAAUUUUGGUGGAGUCUCCUAAUAACUUACUGUGACAGUGUUGCCAUGCUCCAAAAGACCGGUGUUCAUUAUUGUUAAAUGUUAAUGGAUUGUAUAUACUCGGGAAUUAUCUGUUUCUCAGAACUGGUUUAGCUAAAGAAAUUUUGAAGUUCAUGUCUGAAAAUUAGGGUGCACCAUCUUGUAUUUCGGAAAAUAUUGUUUUCUUGAUCAAUUUAGAUCUCCUCGAUUUAUUUUUUGUGUUUUCAUAUUGUAGAACAUAAUGAAGAUGAAUCUAUGUUCAUUAUAAAUGAAAAUUGAAAGAAAAUGAAGAUCUUGAA